GAUGAUUUGAGAGAAUAGCACUGAAACAUGUAUAUUAUCAUAUGUGAAACAGACUGCCAGCCUAGGUUCAAUGCAUGAGACAGGGUGCUCAGGGCUGAUACAAUGGGAUGACCCAGAGGGUUGGGAUGGGAAGGGGUGGGGGGGCUUCAGGAUGGGGAACACAUGUACACCCAUGGCUGAUUCAUGUCAUUGUAUGGUAAAAACCACUACAAUAUUGUAAAGUAAUUAGCCUCCAAUUAAAAUAAAUAAAUUACUUUUAAAAAAGGAAAUAAGAAUUCCAAUAAUUAUUUUAAUUUUGACUUUAUAGUAUGCUAUCCCUGGCCUCCAUGAGAUAAUGGCACUUCAUUUGAUAUGUGAAGGAUGAAGAGGAGGUGAAUGACAAAGAGUAGGAAAGAGGAUUCCAGACACAAGGAACCAUUAUGAAGUGAGAAUGAACAUGGUAUGUGGAUAAACAGGAAGUGACUUCUCAAUUUGAUAGAACUUUAAAAUCAGAGAUGCAUUUACUUCCUUCUUUAAGUGCUCUUUACAAUUCUUUAAAUCUUUAAUUUCUUUAAAAUAGAAUUUGCCAGUAAAGAAUACAAUGAUAUCCUUCUAUUCAGAUAGGAAAGGAGCUGAAGUUGCUCAGUCGUGUCUGACUCUUUGCGACUCCAUGGACUGUAGCCCACCAGGCUUCUCCAUCCACGGAAUUUUCCAGGCAUGAGUACUGGACUGGGUUGCCACUGCCUACUCCAGGGGAUCUUCCUGACCCAGGGAUUGAACCCAGGUCUCCCGCAUUGCAGACAGACACUUUACCAUCUGAGCUACCAGGGAAUCUCCCAGGAAAGGAGCCUCCCCCCCGCACCCACCCCAGCACUGAAGAAGCACAGGUGACAAAGGAGACUUGUGGAUUGAGUGUUUCUGCUGCUGCUACUGCUGCUAAGUCACUUCAGUCGUGUCCGACUCUGUGUGGCCCCAUAGACUGUAGCCCACCAGGCUCCCCCGUCCCUGGGAAGAACACUGGAGUGGGUUGCCAUUUCCUUCUCCAAUGCAUGAAAGUGAAAAGUGAAAGUGAAGUCGCUCAGUCAUGUCCGACUCUAGCGACCCCAUGGACUGCAGCCUACCAGGCUCCUCCAUCCAUGGGAUUUUGUAGGCAAAAGUACUGGACUGGGAAUUACUCACAUUGCUUCAUAGGUUUCUAGUCCUUUACAAUGUUGAGAUAACCUGGGGGAUCCAGACCAGAUGGUGACAUAAGAGGCUCC
rnacentral:lncRNA from 1 species